rnacentral:lncRNA from 1 species
GUGUGAGGGUGAAGAACGCACUGAGACAGCCAGAAGAGACAUGGCUGGAUACAGUGAACUGGAGGAAUAGCGGGGAGAAUUGCCAAUACUCAGGAGUCAGGCUUCACAUUGAUCAUGCAGCUAAUAAGAAAGAAGGCAAAGGUACCAAGCCCCUUGCCAUAUGAGAGCUUCCAGCAACUUUGGCAGAAGAUAGAAAGGAAAAUACUACUACUAUUUAGAAACUGCACUGAUAUUUCUUGACUUCUCCUGAAUCGACUACUGUUUUCCCCUCAGUGAUUCAAAUACAAGAGAAAUUUUUCUCAUCAUUCUGUGUCUCAAAGCUCUGAAAUAAGGCAUCUUUUCCUGUCUUUUAUUUGAUUUAAGGCCAGCUUCAAGCAUUUAUUGAACUGAUUAGCACAUUAGUUUUAUUUUUUUUUUCCAUGUCCUUUUAUGUUCUGGUGAGUUUAUUAGGUGAGGCCAGUUUCCUUCAGAGAAUUUAAUCCAAAGGCCUUUACUAGAAGGCUGGCAUGUUUCCUUUUCUCAUAAAGAUAAGGAAACAUCAACAGGCAUAACAUAGCAGAAUGUCUAGCCUAAGUUAUGGAAAAGAUUCCAUGCCAUACUCCCUGGUGAGGUUGACUUCACACUUACUGGCUUACUUCUCCUGAUACUUGGUUUACAAGUGAGACAAGUAAUCCCCUCUGAGGGUAACUGGUCAUGUUUCUUUGUUUACUCUGGGGGUCAUUUUGCCACUAACAGCUAUGCUGGCUCUAUGCAGAACUUCAAACCUCAGGCUGUCUACCUGAGCUAUAGGGAAGAAGAAGCUACAGAGUUCCCUUUAAUAAGACAUCAGCAAUACAUUUAGCUGUCAGAGAAGAUGGGUCAUAUUUAGGAAUACAUGGAGAAUAAGUUUUAAAAGAGAGAGAAUCCAAAUGUAUUGUACUCUUAAUUAGAGGUCCCUAAACUGCAAAUUCAUUUGCUAAUAUAAUUUCUCAUGCUUUUUAUUUCAAUAAUGUAUGUAUUCGGUAAUGUCUGAUAAAUACUUGCACUUC